GACGGUGUCUACCCGCUACUUGUCAUACCCGACACGCCAGAAAAGCAAGGCAGACAACCGGCUAACACUAAAGAAGCUGACACUGACGGAGGACCAUCUGGAUCCAAAAUUAGCAUACCAGAAGCACCAGAGAAAGCAGUGACUGACGACUCCAGGCCAUACCCCAGACUGAAGCAUUCCACUAGAAGAAGCGGCAGGAGGAAUACGAGGAGAUCAGCUUCAGGACGUCGGGGUCUAUCGAGAGGGAAGGUUGUGAAAACUUUUGGAAAAUGCUGACUUCUGUUUGUGAAUUGACCUCAGCGUUGACUAGGUAGAGUCGUGUGUGUUGUAAUGAUGAAUGAUCAAGGGGAAAAUUCGGUCUCGCAGUCAGCUCUGUUAUCUUUACAGUCUUCGGUCUCGCAGUCAGCUCUGUUAUCUUUACAGUCUAUGGUUGAAGUGUUAAGC